AGCGUACACGGUGGAUGCCUAGGCAGUCAGAGGCGAUGAAGGGCGUGCUAAUCUGCGAAAAGCGUCGGUAAGCUGAUAUGAAGCGUUAUAACCGACGAUACCCGAAUGGGGAAACCCAGUGCAAUACGUUGCACUAUCGUUAGAUGAAUACAUAGUCUAACGAGGCGAACCGGGGGAACUGAAACAUCUAAGUACCCCGAGGAAAGAAAUCAACCGAGAUUCCCCCAGUAGCGGCGAGCGAACGGGGAGGAGCCCAGAGUCUGAAUCAGUUUGUGUGUUAGUGGAAGCGUCUGGAAAGUCGCACGGUACAGGGUGAUAGUCCCGUACACCAAAAUGCACAGGCUGUGAACUCGAUGAGUAGGGCGGGACACGUGACAUCCUGUCUGAAUAUGGGGGGACCAUCCUCCAAGGCUAAAUACUCCUGACUGACCGAUAGUGAACCAGUACCGUGAGGGAAAGGCGAAAAGAACCCCGGCGAGGGGAGUGAAAUAGAACCUGAAACCGUGUACGUACAAGCAGUGGGAGCACCUUCGUGGUGUGACUGCGUACCUUUUGUAUAAUGGGUCAGCGACUUAUAUUUUGUAGCAAGGUUAACCGAAUAGGGGAGCCGUAGGGAAACCGAGUCUUAACUGGGCGUCUAGUUGCAAGGUAUAGACCCGAAACCCGGUGAUCUAGCCAUGGGCAGGUUGAAGGUUGGGUAACACUAACUGGAGGACCGAACCGACUAAUGUUGAAAAAUUAGCGGAUGACUUGUGGCUGGGGGUGAAAGGCCAAUCAAACCGGGAGAUAGCUGGUUCUCCCCGAAAGCUAUUUAGGUAGCGCCUCGUGAACUCAUCUUCGGGGGUAGAGCACUGUUUCGGCUAGGGGGCCAUCCCGGCUUACCAAACCGAUGCAAACUCCGAAUACCGAAGAAUGUUAUCACGGGAGACACACGGCGGGUGCUAACGUCCGUCGUGAAGAGGGAAACAACCCAGACCGCCAGCUAAGGUCCCAAAGUCAUGGUUAAGUGGGAAACGAUGUGGGAAGGCACAGACAGCCAGGAUGUUGGCUUAGAAGCAGCCAUCAUUUAAAGAAAGCGUAAUAGCUCACUGGUCGAGUCGGCCUGCGCGGAAGAUGUAACGGGGCUAAACCAUGCACCGAAGCUGCGGCAGCGACACUUAGGUGUUGUUGGGUAGGGGAGCGUUCUGUAAGCCGUUGAAGGUGACCUGUGAGGGUUGCUGGAGGUAUCAGAAGUGCGAAUGCUGACAUAAGUAACGAUAAUGCGGGUGAAAACCCGCACGCCGGAAGACCAAGGGUUCCUGUCCAACGUUAAUCGGGGCAGGGUGAGUCGACCCCUAAGGCGAGGCUGAAAGCGUAGUCGAUGGGAAACAGGUUAAUAUUCCUGUACUUGGUGUUACUGCGAAGGGGGGACGGAGAAGGCUAGGCUGGCCGGGCGACGGUUGUCCCGGUUUAAGCGUGUAGGGGGAGUGACCAGGUAAAUCCGGUUGCUUAUCAACCCUGAGGCGUGAUGACGAUGCACCACGGUGCAGAAGCAGUUGAUGCCAUGCUUCCAGGAAAAGCCUCUAAGCAUCAGGUAACAUUAAAUCGUACCCCAAACCGACACAGGUGGUCAGGUAGAGAAUACUCAGGCGCUUGAGAGAACUCGGGUGAAGGAACUAGGCAAAAUGGUGCCGUAACUUCGGGAGAAGGCACGCUGGCGUUAGGUGAAAGGACUAGCUCCUGGAGCUGAAGCCAGUCGCAGAUACCAGCUGGCUGCAACUGUUUAAUAAAAACACAGCACUGUGCAAACACGAAAGUGGACGUAUACGGUGUGACGCCUGCCCGGUGCUGGAAGGUUAAUUGAUGGGGUCAGCCGCAAGGCGAAGCUCUUGAUCGAAGCCCCAGUAAACGGCGGCCGUAACUAUAACGGUCCUAAGGUAGCGAAAUUCCUUGUCGGGUAAGUUCCGACCUGCACGAAUGGCGUAAUGAUGGCCAGGCUGUCUCCACCCGAGACUCAGUGAAAUUGAACUCGCUGUGAAGAUGCAGUGUACCCGCGGCAAGACGGAAAGACCCCGUGAACCUUUACUAUAGCUUGACACUGAACAUUGAGCCUUGAUGUGUAGGAUAGGUGGGAGGCCUUGAAGUGUGGACGCCAGUCUGCAUGGAGCCAACCUUGAAAUACCACCCUUUAAUGUUUGAUGUUCUAACUCGGCCCCAUGAUCUGGGGUGAGGACAGUGUCUGGUGGGUAGUUUGACUGGGGCGGUCUCCUCCCAAAGAGUAACGGAGGAGCACGAAGGUUAGCUAAUCACGGUCGGACAUCGUGAGGUUAGUGCAAAGGCAUAAGCUAGCUUGACUGCGAGAGUGACGGCUCGAGCAGGUACGAAAGUAGGUCUUAGUGAUCCGGUGGUUCUGAAUGGAAGGGCCAUCGCUCAACGGAUAAAAGGUACUCCGGGGAUAACAGGCUGAUACCGCCCAAGAGUUCAUAUCGACGGCGGUGUUUGGCACCUCGAUGUCGGCUCAUCACAUCCUGGGGCUGAAGUAGGUCCCAAGGGUAUGGCUGUUCGCCAUUUAAAGUGGUACGCGAGCUGGGUUUAGAACGUCGUGAGACAGUUCGGUCCCUAUCUGCCGUGGGCGUUGGAAGAUUGAGAGGGGCUGCUCCUAGUACGAGAGGACCGGAGUGGACGAAUCACUGGUGUUCGGGUUGUCAUGCCAAUGGCAUUGCCCGGUAGCUAAAUUCGGAAGAGAUAACCGCUGAAAGCAUCUAAGCGGGAAACUUGCCUCGAGAUGAGUCUUCCCUGGGGCUUAAAGCCCCCUGAAGGAACGUUAAAGACUAUGACGUUGAUAGGCUGGGUGUGUAAGUGCAGCGAUGUAUUGAGCUAACCAGUACUAAUGAUCCGUGAGGCUUAACC
rnacentral:rRNA from 1 species